rnacentral:rRNA from 1 species
AGCAGCCGCGGUAAUUCCAGCUCCAAUAGCGUAUAUUAAAGUUGUUGCAGUUAAAAAGCUCGUAGUUGAAUUUCGGGGUCAGUAGAUUGGUCGUGCCACUGGUAUGUACUGGUCUCACUGAUUCCUCCUUCCUGAUGAGCCGUAAUGCCAUUAAUUUGGUGUUGCGAGGAAUCUGGACUGUUACUUUGAAAAAUUGAGUGUUUAAAGCAGGCUAACGCUUGAAUACAUUAGCAUGGAAUAAUGGAAUAGGACGUUCGAUCCUAUUUUGUUGGUUUCUAGGAUUGACGUAAUGAUUAAUAGGGAUAGUUGGGGGCAUUAGUAUUCAAUUGCCAGAGGUGAAAUUCUUGGAUUUAUUGAAGACUAACUACUGCGAAAGCAUUUGCCAAGGAUGUUUUCAUUAAUCAAGAACGAAAGUUAGGGGAUCGAAGACGAUCAGAUACCGUCGUAGUCUUAACCAUAAACUAUGCCGACUAGGGAUCGGAUGAUGUUAAUUUUUAAUGUA